rnacentral:lncRNA from 1 species
UAAAGAGCCAAAAUUUCAGUCUGCCUUUUUUUUUCUGCCCGCUCCUCUCCCAUCCGCUUCCCCGUGUUGUCUGUCCGCCACACCCGAAAUCGAAUAGAUCACGACUCGGGAAGGGUCGCCCGUGCUCAGAACCGAUCGGUACCUACGCGACCCCGGCGAGAAUCAAUCUCACUUCUAGAACGGGCGUUGACGCCGUAGCAGCAG